rnacentral:tRNA from 1 species
GCUGCGGUAGUCUAAUGGUUAGGAUCUUCGGUUGUGGUCCGAUGGGCCCGGGUUCAAUUCCCGGCCGUGGCC